UACGGGGGGGGCAAGCGUUGUUCGGAAUUACUGGGCGUAAAGGGCUCGUAGGCGGCCAACUAAGUCAGACGUGAAAUCCCUCGGCUUAACCGGGGAACUGCGUCUGAUACUGGUUGGCUUGAAUCCGGGAGAGGGAUGUGGAAUUCCAGGUGUAGCGGUGAAAUGCGUAGAUAUCAGGAAGAACACCCGUGGCGAAGGCGGCUCUCUGGGACGGUACUGACGCUGAGACGCGAAAGCGUGGGGAGCGAACAGG
rnacentral:rRNA from 1 species